GUUGUCAUAAAGAGUUAAGAGUAUAUAUUCUAAAACUACAGGGAUCUAGGUUCAAAUUCCAACUUAUUCACUUACUAGCUCUGUGACGUUGGCCAUGUUACUUAAUCUCUCUAAUCCUAUUUUCUCAUCUACAAAGUGGGGAUAAAUAAUAGUCUUUUCCUCAUAAGGUCAGAGGAAGAUUACCUGAAAGAAUGCCUAAAUGCCCAGCUAAUGUCAGUGACACUUCCCAUUAUCUUGUCACAGGGUCUGUUAUCACUGUAGCAAAGUGGGUGGUAUCAUUGCCUGCCCAGUCCCGAGGGCUUUGGGCUUGCAGAAAGAAGAGGAGGCAGUUCCCUUCUUCCCAGGAUCUCAGUUCUUUAUCUUAGAUUCCCAAGAGAGCUCAGCCUAGGAAGUUUUCUUAGACUAGCUGGGGUCUCCAGGACAAAGGUUGUAUUCACUAGGGUAGAACAAAUAAAAUAAAAUAAAUACAAAUU
rnacentral:lncRNA from 10 species